rnacentral:rRNA from 1 species
UACGUAGGGUGCAAGCGUUGUCCGGAAUUAUUGGGCGUAAAGAGCUCGUAGGCGGUCUGUCGCGUCUGGUGUGAAAAUCCAAGGCUUAACCUUGGACCUGCAUCGGGUACGGGCAGACUAGAGUGCGGUAGGGGAGACUGGAAUUCCUGGUGUAGCGGUGAAAUGCGCAGAUAUCAGGAGGAACACCAAUGGCGAAGGCAGCUCGCUGGGACGGUACUGACGCUGAGACGCGAAAGCGUGGGGAGCGAACAGG